rnacentral:ncRNA from 1 species
UUAAAGUUUUUUAGCUUAACUUUACUGUGUAAAGUUACUUUAAAUGCAAGUUUUUGCUUAAUUUAUGUUUAUUUUUAAAUAGGAUAAAAUUUAUCUUUUUUUUUGUAAAUUCGCAGUAAAAAAAAUUAUUUUAUUAAAUAGAUUUAGAAAUAGUAAUUUUUUAUAGUAUAAACUAAACUUGUGCCAGCAGUUGCGGUUAAACAGGGUAUACUACAGUAAAAAUUUUGAUAUUAGUAAAUAAAUAUGUUGAGUAAUUAAUGAGAUUUAUUAAGUGAAAUUUUAAAUUUUUAUAAAUUUAAAUUUGUAUAUAAGGCUAGAAAAUUUUUGUAAUAAACUAGGAUUAGAUACCCUAUUAUAAAGAAAGUAUUUUAUUUAUUUAAUUAGUAUUAGUUAUGGUCUUGAAAAUUAAAAAAGUUGGCGGUAUUUUAGUCUAUUCAGAGGAACCUGUCCUGUAAUUGAUGGUCCACGUUUUUGUUUACUUAUUUUUUUAAUUUGCAUAUCGCCGUAGGUUGAAUAUUUUUAAAGAAAUUUAAUGUUCAAAAUUUUUAAUGAAACUAACUCAGGUCAAGAUGUAGUUUAUAAAUGAGAAGAGAUGGGUUACAAUAAUAAUAUUUAUACGAAUGGAUUUUUGUAAUAAUUUUUUAAAGGCGGAUUUGAGGGUAAUUUUAAAUAAAUAUUUAAAAUGAUUAUAGCUCUAAAAUAUGUACAUAUCGCCCGUCGCUUUCACUCUAAAGUGGAAUAAGUCGUAACAAAGUAGGGGUACUGGAAAGUGUUCCUAGAAAGAU